AACGAACGCUGGCGGCAGGCCUAACACAUGCAAGUCGAACGCUCCGCAAGGGGAGUGGCGCACGGGUGAGUAACGCGUGGGAAUCUACCUAUUAGUAAGGAAUAACAGUUGGAAACGACUGCUAAUACCUUAUACGCCCUACGGGGGAAAGAUUUAUCGCUAAUAGAAUGAGCCCGCGUAAGAUUAGCUAGUUGGUGAGGUAAUGGCUCACCAAGGCUACGAUCUUUAGCUGGUCUGAGAGGAUGAUCAGCCACACUGGAACUGAGACACGGUCCAGACACCUACGGGAGGCAGCGGGGGGGAAUAUGGGACAAUGGGCGAAAGCGUGACCCAGCCAUGCCGGGUGAAUGAUGAAGGCCUUAGGGUUGUAAAGUUCUUUCGCCGCCGAGGAAAAUGACGGUAAGCGAAUAAGAAGCCCCGGCUAACUUCGUGCCAGCCGCCGCGGUAA
rnacentral:rRNA from 1 species